rnacentral:rRNA from 1 species
UAACAAGGAUUCCCCUAGUAACUGCGAGUGAAGCGGGAAAAGCUCAAAUUUCGAAUCUGGCGGGGCCGUCCGAGUUGUAAUCUAGAGAAGCGUCUUCCGCGCUGGCCCGUGUACAAGUCUCCUGGAAGGGAGCGUCAUAGAGGGUGAGAAUCCCGUCUUUGACACGGACCUGUGAUGCGCUCUCGACGAGUCGAGUUGUUUGGGAAUGCAGCUCAAAACGGGUGGUAAAUUCCAUCUAAAGCUAAAUACGGGCGAGAGACCGAUAGCGAACAAGUACCGUGAGGGAAAGAUGAAAAGAACUUUGGAAAGAGAGUUAAACAGUACGUGAAAUUGCUGAAAGGGAAACGCUUCGCGUCAGUCGCGUCGGUCGGGGAUCAACCUUGCGCUCGGCGCACUUCCCGUCCGACGGGUCAGCAUCAGUUU